rnacentral:rRNA from 1 species
UUAAGUUAGAAAGGGCGCACGGUGGAUGCCUUGACACUAGGAGUCGAUGAAGGACGGGACUAACGCCGAUAUGCUUCGGGGAGCUGUAAGUAAGCUUUGAUCCGAAGAUUUCCGAAUGGGGAAACCCACCAUACGUAAUGGUAUGGUAUCCUUAUCUGAAUACAUAGGAUAAGGAAGACAGACCCAGGGAACUGAAACAUCUAAGUACCUGGAGGAAGAGAAAGCAAAUGCGAUUUCCUGAGUAGCGGCGAGCGAAACGGAACAUAGCCCAAACCAAGAGGCUUGCCUCUUGGGGUUGUAGGACAUUCUAUACGGAGUUACAAAGGAACGUAGGUAGACGAAGCGACCUGGAAAGGUCCGUCGUAGAGGGUAACAACCCCGUAGUCGAAACUUCGUUCUCUCUUGAAUGUAUCCUGAGUACGGCGGAACACGUGAAAUUCCGUCGGAAUCUGGGAGGACCAUCUCCCAAGGCUAAAUACUCCCUAGUGAUCGAUAGUGAACCAGUACCGUGAGGGAAAGGUGAAAAGCACCCCGGAAGGGGAGUGAAAGAGAUCCUGAAACCGUGUGCCUACAAAUAGUCAGAGCCCGUUAACGGGUGAUGGCGUGCCUUUUGUAGAAUGAACUGGCGAGUUACGAUCCCGUGCGAGGUUAAGCUGAAGAGGCGGAGCCGCAGCGAAAGCGAGUCUGAAUAGGGCGUUUAGUACGUGGUCGUAGACCCGAAACCAGGUGAUCUACCCAUGUCCAGGGUGAAGUUCAGGUAACACUGAAUGGAGGCCCGAACCCACGACGUUGAAAAGUGCGGGGAUGAGGUGUGGGUAGCGGAGAAAUUCCAAUCGAACCUGGAGAUAGCUGGUUCUCCCCGAAAUAGCUUUAGGGCUAGCCUUAAGUGUAAGAGUCUUGGAGGUAGAGCACUGAUUGGACUAGGGUCCUCAUCGGAUUACCGAAUUCAGUCAAACUCCGAAUGCCAAUGACUUAUCCUUAGGAGUCAGACUGCGAGUGAUAAGAUCCGUAGUCAAAAGGGAAACAGCCCAGACCGCCAGCUAAGGUCCCAAAGUGUGUAUUAAGUGGAAAGGAUGUGGAGUUGCCUAGACAACUAGGAUGUUGGCUUAGAAGCAGCCACCAUUUUAAAGAGUGCGUAAUAGCUCACUAGUCGAGUGACUCUGCGCCGAAAAUGUACCGGGGCUAAAUACACCACCGAAGCUGCGGAUUGAUACCAAUGGUAUCAGUGGUAGGGGAGCGUUCUAAGGACAGUGAAGUCAGACCGGAAGGACUGGUGGAGUGCUUAGAAGUGAGAAUGCCGGUAUGAGUAGCGAAAGACGGGUGAGAAUCCCGUCCACCGAAUGCCUAAGGUUUCCUGAGGAAGGCUCGUCCGCUCAGGGUUAGUCAGGACCUAAGCCGAGGCCGACAGGCGUAGGCGAUGGACAACAGGUUGAUAUUCCUGUACCACCUCUUUAUCGUUUGAGCAAUGGAGGGACGCAGAAGGAUAGAAGAAGCGUGCGAUUGGUUGUGCACGUCCAAGCAGUUAGGCUGAUAAGUAGGCAAAUCCGCUUAUCGUGAAGGCUGAGCUGUGAUGGGGAAGCUCCUUAUGGAGCGAAGUCUUUGAUUCCCCGCUGCCAAGAAAAGCUUCUAGCGAGAUAAAAGGUGCCUGUACCGCAAACCGACACAGGUAGGCGAGGAGAGAAUCCUAAGGUGUGCGAGAGAACUCUGGUUAAGGAACUCGGCAAAAUGACCCCGUAACUUCGGGAGAAGGGGUGCUUUCUUAACGGAAAGCCGCAGUGAAUAGGCCCAAGCGACUGUUUAGCAAAAACACAGCUCUCUGCGAAGCCGUAAGGCGAAGUAUAGGGGGUGACACCUGCCCGGUGCUGGAAGGUUAAGGAGAGGGGUUAGCGUAAGCGAAGCUCUGAACUGAAGCCCCAGUAAACGGCGGCCGUAACUAUAACGGUCCUAAGGUAGCGAAAUUCCUUGUCGGGUAAGUUCCGACCCGCACGAAAGGUGUAACGAUUUGGGCACUGUCUCAACCAGAGACUCGGUGAAAUUAUAGUACCUGUGAAGAUGCAGGUUACCCGCGACAGGACGGAAAGACCCCGUGGAGCUUUACUGUAGCCUGAUAUUGAAUUUUGGUACAGUUUGUACAGGAUAGGCGGGAGCCUUUGAAACCGGAGCGCUAGCUUCGGUGGAGGCGCUGGUGGGAUACCGCCCUGACUGUAUUGAAAUUCUAACCUACGGGUCUUAUCGACCCGGGAGACAGUGUCAGGUGGGCAGUUUGACUGGGGCGGUCGCCUCCUAAAGUGUAACGGAGGCGCCCAAAGGUUCCCUCAGAAUGGUUGGAAAUCAUUCGUAGAGUGCAAAGGCAUAAGGGAGCUUGACUGCGAGACCUACAAGUCGAGCAGGGACGAAAGUCGGGCUUAGUGAUCCGGUGGUUCCGCAUGGAAGGGCCAUCGCUCAACGGAUAAAAGCUACCCCGGGGAUAACAGGCUUAUCUCCCCCAAGAGUCCACAUCGACGGGGAGGUUUGGCACCUCGAUGUCGGCUCAUCGCAUCCUGGGGCUGUAGUCGGUCCCAAGGGUUGGGCUGUUCGCCCAUUAAAGCGGUACGCGAGCUGGGUUCAGAACGUCGUGAGACAGUUCGGUCCCUAUCCGUCGUGGGCGUAGGAAAUUUGAGAGGAGCUGUCCUUAGUACGAGAGGACCGGGAUGGACGCACCGCUGGUGUACCAGUUGUUCUGCCAAGGGCAUAGCUGGGUAGCUAUGUGCGGAAGGGAUAAGUGCUGAAAGCAUCUAAGCAUGAAGCCCCCCUCAAGAUGAGAUUUCCCAUAGCGUAAGCUAGUAAGAUCCCUGAAAGAAUGAUCAGGUUGAUAGGUUCGAGGUGGAAGCAUGGUGACAUGUGGAGCUGACGAAUACUAAUAGAUCGAGGACUUAACCAU